ACUGAUCCGUUAAAUUUUUAAAACUUAUUUCUUGUUUUCAGUUAUUGAUCUUUGCUUUAUUUCGUAUCUUGUUUUAUUGUACUUCUUUUGUUUCUUUUUCAUAUCAUUUUGGCAAUUGUAUGCAAAUUUCAUAACAUUGUGUUUCUAAUAAGAGGAAAGUGAACAGUUGUAAAUGUAAAGCAUGUAAACCAGUAGACCGGACAUCACAAAAAAAAGGAAGAAAAGGUGUAUGAACAUCCAGGAAUUUUUAGCUCAUUACAGCAAAAUCUACAAAAUAAAUGAUGGAGAAUGGUGAGAGUAAUAGAGAUACCAUCGAUACGGUUCAGGUGGCACUAAGGAUUAGGCCCCUUAUGCAGCAGGAAAUAGAAAGAGGUUGCGAUGAAUGCAUUGACGUUGUUCCUGGUGAACCACAAGUACAGAUAAAGGACCUGGCAUUUACAUACAAUUAUGUUUUUCCACAACACAUCACACAACAAGAAUUCUAUGACACUGCAGUCAAGGGUCUUAUUAGAAAAUUAUUUCAAGGAUAUAAUGUUACAAUACUUGCUUAUGGACAAACUGGCUCAGGGAAAACAUACACAAUGGGUACAAAUUAUUCAGGUUCCGAAGGAGAUUCAACAAAUUUAGGUGUUAUACCACAAGCAGUUGCUGAUAUAUUUGACUUCAUAGAUGUCAAUGAGAACAAGUUUACUUUCAAAGUGACAGUUUCAUUCAUGGAACUGUAUCAGGAGCAAUGCUACGACCUGCUCUCCGGCAAGGAGCGUGGACACAGUGUCAUAGACAUCAGAGAGGAUAUCAAUAAAGGUGUACAUUUGCCAGGUAUCACAGAGCUACCAGUAACAUCCACUGCGGAGACAAUGAUGGUGCUGGAGAAGGGUUCCAUUGGCAGAGUGACAGGAUCCACAGCCAUGAACCAAGCAUCCAGUAGAAGUCAUGCUGUCUUCACCAUAAUGGUUGCUAAAGAAAGUAAGACUGACAAAAACCUUGCAACCACAUCAAAGUUCCACUUUGUAGAUUUAGCUGGAUCAGAGAGAAUUAAAAAGACAAAGGCAAGUGGUGAGAGACUUAGAGAAGGCGUAAAGAUAAAUCAAGGUCUCUUAGCACUAGGGAAUGUGAUAUCUGCACUGGGUGACGGCACCAACAGAAGCUUCAUCAGCUACAGAGACAGCAAGCUGACGAGGUUGUUGCAAGACAGUCUGGGUGGCAACUCGCUGACGAUGAUGGUGGCGUGCGUGAGUCCCGCAGACUACAACUUGGACGAGACGGUGUCGACGUUGCGGUACGCGGACCGCGCGCGUCGCAUCCGCAAUAAGCCCGUCAUCAACCAGGACGCCAAGGCCGCUGAGAUCAUCAGAUUAAACAACUUGGUGAAUGAACUGAGACUUCAAUUAGUAGGAAAAUUACCUACAGUCAGUGAAAACAACAAUGAGCAAUUAAAGGAAGAGUUAGAAAUGGAGAAAGCAAAAUAUGCUGAUCUCUUGAAGAAACAUAAGCAAAUGACGGAACAUCUAACCAAUAUAUUAAUAGAGAACACAAAUUUAUGUGAGAAAGCACUACUAGCGGAAGCUGCAAAGGAUAAGAUAGAAAGAAAGCUAAAUGAACUAACAGAACAGUGCAAUCAAACUAUAGAUAAUUUGAGUACAACUGACAAAGUUCCCGAUGAAGAUUGUAAGAACAGUGUUGUUGACUAUCUUAAAGAAAUAAAGAGUAGAUUAGAAGAUUUGCAAUCUGUUAACAUGAAGACCAAUGAAGAGCUAAUUGAUCAUGAAAUUAAACUGUCUUACAUCAAAGAGGAAAAUGACAGUGAAAAAGUUGAUGACGGAAUCCCUCUUAAUGAAGAUCAAGCUGUCAUGGAGGAGCAGAAACGAGCUAUGGGUCAGGUUGCAUUGAAUCAAGAAUUACAAGAAUUAAACAGUGCUAUGGCUAUCAAAGCUUCAGUUGUACAAGCGAUAUUGGCUAGUAACAAAGAUAUUAUAGAGAGUCAUAAUAACCUGAAAGAAAAUGAGGAGAAGAUUGCCCACCUGGAGAAGGAAAGAGAUGAGCUCAUGCAGCAGCUGAAGCAAACUAAGAGUAAAGAUCCUUCGCACGAGGAGCGCCGCACGAAGGUAUCUUCCUUGGAGACGGAGAUAACUGACUUGAAGAAGAAAUGUCAACAACUUGCCAACAUCAUCAAGACUAAAGAAAAGAACGAAGCCAAAAUAGCUACACUCAACGCCGAGUUACAUGCUAUGAAAGCUAAUAAGGUGAAAAUCAUCAGACAAAUGCGUGAAGAAAGUGAGAAGUUCCGUAAAUGGAAGGCUGAUAAUGAACGUGCGAUGCUGCGACUGCGCAAUGAAGAUAAAAAACGCGCGAAUGCGAUGGCCAAGAUGGAGUCUCUACACGUCAAGCAGCGUAAUGUGCUCAAGCGCAAGAUGGAGGAAGCUGUCGCUGUUAACAAACGUCUCAAGGAAGCUCUAGACAGACAGAAGCAAUCACAAUUGAAACGCAACGCUAAAGGUGUUGUCAAAACUGGUGCCAUUCAGCAGUACAUUGAGCAGGAACUCGAAGUACAUCUCAGUAUUGUGGAAGCUGAGAAAUCAUUAGAAGAACUUAUGGAGUACAGAGCAUGGAUAACAGAACAAAUAGAGAACCUCCGCAACAGCACAGACGAUGAGGCCAACAGGAAGAAGAUGGCGGAGCUGGAGAACGACCUGGUGCUGCGUAAAGCGCAGAUAUCUGAUCUGCAGCAAAAGAUAGUAACUGUAGAUCAAGAGAACAAAGCAAGAACUCAAUGGGACAAUAUACAAUCAAUGUUGGAAGCUAAAGUCGCUCUUAAAUGUCUUUUCGAGUUAUUGGUGGAUACAAAGAGAGAUCUACAGAACCAGAGUGAGAAAGGCUAUCAGUCCAGAUACGAGGAGGUGAAGGAGGCCUACGAUAGACUGAAAGUGGAAUUUGAAAACAGUAAGACUGAAUUUGAUUGGGAAUUAGCUAAAGUUAAACAACAGAGUGAGGAAAAGUUACGAGUAUUACUGGCAAUACAACGCGGUGUGACUGUAAGAGGUGAGAAGAACGAGGCGUGCAAGCAGCUGCAGGCUGUCAUACAGUACCAGCAGGACCGCCUCGAACAAUUGGAGAUUGAAAAUAAAAAGUUAGCGGAUGAACUAGAAGAAUAUCAAUCCAACAGUAGAAGAGGCAGGAAACAGAACAAGAGCAACACAGAACAGAAGAGGAUUGAGCAUACACCUAUUCCUGUCACUGAUGAGGAAGAUGAUGACGAGGACUCGGAGAAGGACCCCGACUGGAGAGCUACGCCAUUGUUUAAACGUAUACAGGCUCAACGCACUCGUCUUAAGAUGAAUUUAACCGCUAACGAGGGUGAUACGUCUCGAGCUACGAAACGUAGUAACGAAGGUGUCCCGCACUGCACCUGUCGCGGCUCCUGCUCCACCAAGAUCUGUGGCUGCGUGAAGACCAGCGUCAGCUGCGGCACCGCCUGCCGCUGUCAGCACGCGCUCUGCAAGAACCGCAACCACGCAGCGCAACACCACGACAAGGAGAACCAAGUAAGUUACCUCCGACACCUACAAUAGACGUAACGAAGGUGUCCCGCACUGCACCUGUCGCGGCUCCUGCUCCACCAAGAUCUGUGGCUGCGUGAAGACCAGCGUCAGCUGCGGCACCGCCUGCCGCUGUCAGCACGCGCUCUGCAAGAACCGCAACCACGCAGCGCAACACCACGACAAGGAGAACCAAGUAAGUUACCUCCGACACCUACAAUAGACGUAACGAAGGUGUCCCGCACUGCACCUGUCGCGGCUCCUGCUCCACCAAGAUCUGUGGCUGCGUGAAGACCAGCGUCAGCUGCGGCACCGCCUGCCGCUGUCAGCACGCGCUCUGCAAGAACCGCAACCACGCAGCGCAACACCACGACAAGGAGAACCAAGUAAGUUACCUCCGACACCUACAAUAGACGUAACGAAGGUGUCCCGCACUGCACCUGUCGCGGCUCCUGCUCCACCAAGAUCUGUGGCUGCGUGAAGACCAGCGUCAGCUGCGGCACCGCCUGCCGCUGUCAGCACGCGCUCUGCAAGAACCGCAACCACGCAGCGCAACACCACGACAAGGAGAACCAAGUAAGUUACCUCCGACACCUACAAUAGACGUAACGAAGGUGUCCCGCACUGCACCUGUCGCGGCUCCUGCUCCACCAAGAUCUGUGGCUGCGUGAAGACCAGCGUCAGCUGCGGCACCGCCUGCCGCUGUCAGCACGCGCUCUGCAAGAACCGCAACCACGCAGCGCAACACCACGACAAGGAGAACCAAGUAAGUUACCUCCGACACCUACAAUAGACGUAACGAAGGUGUCCCGCACUGCACCUGUCGCGGCUCCUGCUCCACCAAGAUCUGUGGCUGCGUGAAGACCAGCGUCAGCUGCGGCACCGCCUGCCGCUGUCAGCACGCGCUCUGCAAGAACCGCAACCACGCAGCGCAACACCACGACAAGGAGAACCAAGUAAGUUACCUCCGACACCUACAAUAGACGUAACGAAGGUGUCCCGCACUGCACCUGUCGCGGCUCCUGCUCCACCAAGAUCUGUGGCUGCGUGAAGACCAGCGUCAGCUGCGGCACCGCCUGCCGCUGUCAGCACGCGCUCUGCAAGAACCGCAACCACGCAGCGCAACACCACGACAAGGAGAACCAAGUAAGUUACCUCCGACACCUACAAUAGACGUAACGAAGGUGUCCCGCACUGCACCUGUCGCGGCUCCUGCUCCACCAAGAUCUGUGGCUGCGUGAAGACCAGCGUCAGCUGCGGCACCGCCUGCCGCUGUCAGCACGCGCUCUGCAAGAACCGCAACCACGCAGCGCAACACCACGACAAGGAGAACCAAGUAAGUUACCUCCGACACCUACAAUAGACGUAACGAAGGUGUCCCGCACUGCACCUGUCGCGGCUCCUGCUCCACCAAGAUCUGUGGCUGCGUGAAGACCAGCGUCAGCUGCGGCACCGCCUGCCGCUGUCAGCACGCGCUCUGCAAGAACCGCAACCACGCAGCGCAACACCACGAUAAGGAGAACCAACCGUCAAGUUCUGAAAGUGCGCAGGAUACAACCUUUCC